ensembl:miRNA MIR193B microRNA 193b
GUGAUCACAGUCACGGGAUCUUGGGGGCAAGAUGAGUUUGAUCAGAAUCCGACUGGCCCGCAAAGUCCCGCUUCUGGGACUCAC